GAUGAACGCUGGCGGCGUGCCUAAUACAUGCAAGUCGAGCGAACAGAUGAGGAGCUUGCUCCUCUGACGUUAGCGGCGGACGGGUGAGUAACACGUGGAUAACCUACCUAUAAGACUGGGAUAACUUCGGGAAACCGGAGCUAAUACCGGAUAAUAUAUUGAACCGCAUGGUUCAAUAGUGAAAGACGGUUUUGCUGUCACUUAUAGAUGGAUCCGCGCCGCAUUAGCUAGUUGGUAAGGUAACGGCUUACCAAGGCAACGAUGCGUAGCCGACCUGAGAGGGUGAUCGGCCACACUGGAACUGAGACACGGUCCAGACUCCUACGGGAGGCAGCAAUAGGGAAUCUUCCGCAAUGGGCGAAAGCCUGACGGAGCAACGCCGCGUGAGUGAUGAAGGUCUUCGGAUCGUAAAACUCUGUUAUUAGGGAAGAACAAGUGUGUAAGUAACUAUGCACGUCUUGACGGUACCUAAUCAGAAAGCCACGGCUAACUACGUG
rnacentral:rRNA from 1 species